rnacentral:lncRNA from 1 species
ACCUGCAUCUGCCAACAAGACUGGAAGCAGGUGAGGCACACAGAGGGGGAGGCCCGCAGCUGCGUGGGAGGAGGGGUGGUCUGAGGGACGUGGGAUGCCGGGAAUGAGGCUGGUUUGCAGGUUGGCGCAUGGACAUUUUCCCAGAGAGGGACAGAGACGGAGAAGUUUGACGGUCUGGAAAGCAGAGACCAGCAGGGCUGACUGCUUGGGAGCACCAAGUAUCCGGACAGCGCCUCUCGGGAGGUCCGAGAAGAGAACCGCGGUCUGUUUCAGCACCGGGGCUCAGGACAGUUCCCAGAGGGCUCCGUUUCGGCUCCAGAACCCUGGACAGCUCCCCCAGCUUGGAAUGCACUCCCUCCACCUCCACCCAGAGCUCCCCACAACUGACCCUGCUUUCUUCUGCAAGCUCCAUUUCAUCAAGGGAAACGAUCCUUAUUGCCUCACCAUUUCCCACAUGAAGUCUGUAUUGACAUUCUCAUAGACCUGGGAUAUUGUGUCUGCAGCACAUAGUCCAAUUAUUUUCAUGUUAUCUACUGACAGCUCUAUUUGUCUCCCUGUUACACUGUGAGCUCCGUGAGGGCAGAAACAAUGUUUGUAUUUUCACUGCUGUGUCCCCAGUGCCUGGUCCGGGGCCCGGCACACAGCAGGCAUAUAAUAAGCAUGUGUUGAAUCAAUAAAGGCAUCAAAGAAUAAACCAAUACAUCAAUCAA